rnacentral:rRNA from 1 species
AUUGAACGCUGGCGGCAGGCCUAACACAUGCAAGUCGAGCGGAUGAAGGGGGCUUGCUGCUGUAUUCAGCGGCGGACGGGAACGUGAUGGCUACGAGUCUGCCUGGUAGUGUUGUAUAACGUCCGGAAACGGGCGCUAAUACCUCAUACGUCCUGUUGUGGCAGGCUCGCGUUCUGCGGACCUCACGCUCUCAGAUGAGCCUAGGUCGGAUUAGCUAGUUGGUGGGGUAAAGGCCUACGAAGGCGACGAUCCGUAACUGGUCUGAGAGGAUGCUCAGUCACACUGGAACUGAGAGACGGUCCAGACUCCUACGGGAGGCAGCAGUGGGGAAUAUUGGACGAUGGGCGAAAGCGUGAUCAAGCCAUGUGGAGUGUGUGAAGAAGGUCUUCGGAUGGUAAAGGACUGUAAGUUGGGAGGGAGGGCAGUAAGUUAAUACAGUGCUGUUUUGACGUUAACAACAGAAUAAGCACCGGCUAACUUCGUG